GUCUUUUUGAUUAUAAUUUAAAGUCUAAUCUGCCCGCUGAUUUGAUUUGAAGGGCCGCAGUAUUUUGACUGUGCAAAGGUAGCAUAAUCAUUAGUUUUUUAAUUAAAAGCUGGAAUGAAUGAUUGGACGAAAUAGUAUCUGUCUUUUUUUAAUAGGUUGAAUUUAAUUUUUAAGUUAAAAAGCUUAAAUUUAUGUAAAAGACGAGAAGACCCUAUAGAUCUUUAUAUUGGUUUGAUUUAAAGCAUUGAGGAUUUGUAUUUUUUAUAUUAGAUUUAAUAUUUUAUUGGGGUAAUAUCAAGAUUUAAUUAAUUCUUGGAUUUAGAUUCAUUGAUUAGUGUUUUUGUGAUCCUUUAUUAUGGGAUUUAAGAUUAAGUUACCUUAGGGAUAACAGCGUAAUUUUUUUGAAGAGUUCUUAUCGAUAAAAAAGUUUGCGACCUCGAUGUUGGAUUAAAAUUAAUUUUAGGUGUAGUAGUUUAAAUAUUUGGUCUGUUCGACCAUUAAAAUUUUACA
rnacentral:rRNA from 1 species